rnacentral:rRNA from 1 species
GAGGAGCUUGCUCUUCAAAUCGAGUGGCGAACGGGUGAGUAACGCGUGAGGAACCUGCCUCAAAGAGGGGGACAACAGUUGGAAACGACUGCUAAUACCGCAUAAGCCCACGGCUCGGCAUCGAGCAGAGGGAAAAGGAGCAAUCCGCUUUGAGAUGGCCUCGCGUCCGAUUAGCUAGUUGGUGAGGUAACGGCCCACCAAGGCGACGAUCGGUAGCCGGACUGAGAGGUUGAACGGCCACAUUGGGACUGAGACACGGCCCAGACUCCUACGGGAGGCAGCAGUGGGGAAUAUUGCACAAUGGGGGAAACCCUGAUGCAGCGACGCCGCGUGGAGGAAGAAGGUCUUCGGAUUGUAAACUCCUGUUGUUGAGGAAGAUAAUGACGGUACUCAGCAAGGAAGUGACGGCUAACUACGUGCCAGCAGCCGCGGUAAAACGUAGGUCACAAGCGUUGUCCGGAAUUACUGGGUGUAAAGGGAGCGCAGGCGGGAGAACAAGUUGGAAGUGAAAUCCAUGGGCUCAACCCAUGAACUGCUUUCAAAACUGUUUUUCUUGAGUAGUGCAGAGGUAGGCGGAAUUCCCGGUGUAGCGGUGGAAUGCGUAGAUAUCGGGAGGAACACCAGUGGCGAAGGCGGCCUACUGGGCACCAACUGACGCUGAGGCUCGAAAGUGUGGGUAGCAAACAGGAUUAGAUACCCUGGUAGUCCACACCGUAAACGAUGAUUACUAGGUGUUGGAGGAUUGACCCCUUCAGUGCCGCAGUUAACACAAUAAGUAAUCCACCUGGGGAGUACGAC